rnacentral:rRNA from 1 species
GGGGAAUCUUGCACAAUGGAGGAAACUCUGAUGCAGCGACGCCGCGUGAGCGAAGAAGCCUUUCGGGGUGUAAAGCUCUUACGCCAGGGACGAUAAUGACGGUACCUGGAGAAGCAGCUGCGGCUAACUACGUGCCAGCAGCCGCGGUAAUACGUAGGCAGCAAGCGUUGUUCGGAAUUACUGGGCGUAAAGGGUGCGUAGGCGGCGCUCUAAGUUUGGUGUGAAAUCUCCCGGCUUAACUGGGAGGGUGCACUGAAAACUGGGGCGCUCGAGUAUGGGAGAGGAAAGCGGAAUUCCUGGUGUAGCGGUGAAAUGCGUAGAGAUCAGGAGGAACACCUGCGGUGUAGACGGCUUUCUGGACCAUAACUGACGCUGAGGCACGAAAGCGUGGGUAGCAAAC